rnacentral:lncRNA from 1 species
UAUCCCUAUCACCAGGUAAGCUAUCAAAUGAGCAUUUCCUAAACAUUGAGCAAAGAUCUUUUAUAUCCUCCAGGUAAGUUGCUAGCUUUAAGUUACUAAAAGCUUGAUACCGUAUGAUAUUUAGAACCUGAAUGCAUGAUGUUCGGAUCUUGAUAUGCUGCCAUCCUUUCUCCUUUAGCUUAUAAAGUGCCAGUUUGAUGGCCAAAAGAUUGUCCUGCACUGCUGAUCCAGUGCUUCUCUCAUUCAGUAUUCAAGCUUCGCAUUUUUUGUUCCAAUUGUUUUGUGUUGCAACUCCAAUUCCCAUAUUUUGGCCUUCCACAUGUUGACCCACUUCCACGCUAAUGUUCAGCAAGUAAUCAUCCUCCCCCAUCCGUUCCUCCUCAUCUUGUACAGUUUCUGUUUCGGACAUGCUCAGCUGAUGUUGUAUUUGUUGUGAUUGGUGAUACUCCUC